rnacentral:misc_RNA from 1 species
GAUGAAGAACGUAGCGAAAUGCGAUAAGUAAUGUGAAUUGCAGAAUUCAGUGAAUCAUCGAAUCUUUGAACGCACAUUGCGCCCCUUGGUAUUCCGAGGGGCAUGCCUGUUCGAGCGUCAUUAUAACCCCUCAAGCUCAGCUUGGUGUUGGGGCCUGCUGCACUGGCAGCCCUUAAAAUCAGUGGCGGCGCCAUCUGGCUCUAAGCGUAGUAAUUCUUCUCGCUAUGGAGUCCUGGUGGAUGCUUGCCAUCAACCCCCAAUUUUUCUAUGGUUGACCUCGGAUCAGGUAGGGAUACCCGCUGAACUUAAGCAUAUAAUAAGCGGAGGA